UACGAGGGGGGCGAGCGUUGUUCGGAAUUAUUGGGCGUAAAGGGUGCGUAGGCGGUUUGGUAAGUCUUAUGUGAAAUCUACAGGCUCAACUUGUAGUCUGCAUGAGAAACUGCCGGGCUUGAGUAUGGGAGAGGUGAGUGGAAUUCCUGGUGUAGCGGUGAAAUGCGUAGAUAUCAGGAGGAACACCAAUUGCGAAGGCAGCUCGCUGGGACGUUACUGACGCUGAGACGCGAAAGCGUGGGGAGCAAACAGG
rnacentral:rRNA from 1 species